rnacentral:tRNA from 1 species
GCCAGCAUGGUGUAGUGGUCUGAGUGCUGGAUUAUGACUCUGGAGAUCAGAGUUCAAUUCUCCACUUGGCC